AUGAACGCUGGCGGCGUGCCUAAUACAUGCAAGUCGAGCGAACGGACGAGAAGCUUGCUUCUCUGAUGUUAGCGGCGGACGGGUGAGUAACACGUGGAUAACCUACCUAUAAGACUGGGAUAACUUCGGGAAACCGGAGCUAAUACCGGAUAAUAUUUUGAACCGCAUGGUUCAAAAGUAAAAGACGGUCUUGCUGUCACUUAUAGAUGGAUCCGCGCUGCAUUAGCUAGUUGGUAAGGUAACGGCUUACCAAGGCAACGAUGCAUAGCCGACCUGAGAGGGUGAUCGGCCACACUGGAACUGAGACACGGUCCAGACUCCUACGGGAGGCAGCAGUAGGGAAUCUUCCGCAAUGGGCGAAAGCCUGACGGAGCAACGCCGCAUGAGUGAUGAAGGUCUUCGGAUCGUAAAACUCUGUUAUUAGGGAAGAACAUAUGUGUAAGUAACUGUGCACAUCUUGACGGUACCUAAUCAGAAAGCCACGGCUAACUACGUG
rnacentral:rRNA from 1 species